UUCAUUGUAAUUAUGAUUUUAUUUUAGAUCAGUAUUGUGUCGUUCUUAAAGGAUAGUUCAGCCAAAAAUGCCCUCAUGUCGCCCUGAACGCACAAGACUUUUAUUGAAUUUGAUCCAAAUUUUAAUGGAAAAUUUGGAAAGGCGGGACUUAGCUCACCUGUCAAUCAUCACCAUGACGCAGCCGAAUGAAGCGAGAGACAAACUUGCCUGGGACCGGGAAAUAACCUCAAUUUGUGUGUUAUUGUGUGCGUCUGUGAUUGAUUAAGAGAAGAGGAAACCAUUGAUGAAGGAUUCCACAGAAAAACGAGAGAAUGAAUCAGUGACUGUAGUGAUGCCGCUGCUGAAAGAGGAUCUGGAUGGAGUGAAUGAGCAGGAGAGUUUACUUUAAUGAGAUAAGACACGCCCACCAGUGUCAAUCACUCUGACAUCAACACUUCAUCUCCAGCUACAACAACAAAAACACAUUUCUGCUUUCAUAAGCCUCUAGAAUCCGUCCAGUGAAAGAGAGAAAUGAAGCCGUGUCUGUUGAGCUGAUGAACCUGCAUGUAAAAAGCUUCUGUGGUUUUAUAUGAACCCAGAAACACCGUAAUCAAACACUUUCUAAUGUUACACUUCAUACCUGUACCACUGUUAACAUAAUACUAGUGUGACUCUCACAGCUUUGAUUUUCUGUGAUUAUCGACAGGAAUAUGAUUUUUAUGUUUUACCACAGCAUUUGAAUUUGCUGUUUUAUGUAAUUAACACCAGUGCCAGAUUAACGUUCAUGUUCAGAACUAAUCACAUGUCUUUGAGAUCACAUGACCUUCUCUUCAUGUGUAGAAGUUCAUUAGUGUGAAUGAGACUAACAGCUUCGACCAUUCAGUGUUAUUCAGCUUCACUGUAAGUGACAGUAUUAUUGUAAAAAUAACAAUAAUUAUAACCAACUACUUAAGUUGACAAUCUUUUAUUUAUAUAUAUAUCAUUCUGUUCAUCUUCAUCUUAUCUGAAUGAUUGUAAAUGUGAGUUGAAUUUAAAGUGCCUUUAUAUUCAUGCUGAAGCACUUACAGUAGCCUUAUUGUACUUCUCAAAAAAAAAAAAAAUGGAAAAACAUUUUGCAUAAUACCACUGUGGUGUUUCUUGUGUUUUAUUAUUUUUUUCAGAAGCAUGUUAUUAAUGAAUAUUUGAAUUUAAAGUGCCUUUAUAUUCAUGCUGAAGCACUUACAGUAGCCUUAUUGUACUUCUCAAAAAAACAAAAAAAUAUUUAAUACUCAGUGUCAUGAUACCACAUUGUGGUGUUUCUUGUGUUUUAUUAUUAUUUGUUUCAUAAGCAUGUGAUUGAUGAAUAUUAUUGCUAUAUUGCUGAUCUUAAUGUCUGAUCUCUUCUGUCCUCUAGUGGACAGACACUGAUACAGCUUUUGCUUCCUAAUAAAUCUUUUAACAUUAAUUAUUGUCUAGUUGUGUUGAUUGUAAUGACAAAUGCCCAGCAAUACAACGAGACUAUAAAAUCA